rnacentral:tRNA from 1 species
UCCCUGGUGGCUCAGACGGUAAAGCGUCUGCCUGCAAUGCAGGAGACCCAGGUUUGAUUCCUGGCUCAGGAA